UUGUGCUAGAGCAAUGUCUGUUCUUUUCCUCUGCAUUGAAAGGACUGUUUAUCCUUUUAAAUGUAUUCAUAAAGUCAGCACAUUA
rnacentral:snoRNA from 1 species